rnacentral:lncRNA from 1 species
GGCCAGCCCCGAAGUUGCAACAUGGUGAGCACGAGCAAGCCCCGAAAUUGCAACAUGCUACUAACAAACCACAACCAACCUUCCUAAAAGACCAACAACUCCCCACCCUGCCUCUCGGGAUCCUCAUGUUUAUGUACCCUCCAAAAAGUUUCCAGAAUUCUGUUUUGUUAUACCAUCACAAAAGUCUGUAGCUGGCAAACCAUGCUUCUGCUAGAGCAGGAGGCAAAGCCUGAUCAGCACCUACAGUCAGUCAGAAGCUGCCUCACAUUCUUACACCGGGCAUUAACAUGAAAGCUCGUUCUUAUACUAUUUCUGUGCUUUGGGAACCAAAAAUCAGGAUUCUCAGAAUGUCACUACAAACAAGAGUUGGAUGCAAGCUAUUAAAGAGUUUUUUUUAAAAUU